AGCCAGACUCCUACGGGAGGCAGCAGUGGGGAAUAUUGCGCAAUGGGGGCAACCCUGACGCAGCAACGCCGCGUGCAGGAAGAAGGUCUUCGGAUUGUAAACUGUUGUCGCAGGGGAAGAAGACAGUGACGGUACCCUGUGAGAAAGUCACGGCUAACUACGCGCCAGCAGCCGCGGUAAUACGUAGGUGACAAGCGUUGUCCGGAUUUACUGGGUGUAAAGGGCGCGUAGGCGGGAUAGCAAGUCAGAUGUGAAAACUGAGGGCUCAACCUUCAGACUGCAUUUGAAACUGCUGUUCUUGAGUGAAGUAGAGGUAAGCGGAAUUCCUAGUGUAGCGGUGAAAUGCGUAGAUAUUAGGAGGAACAUCGGUGGCGAAGGCGGCUUACUGGGCUUUUACUGACGCUGAGGCUCGAAAGCGUGGGGAGCAAACAGGAUUAGAUACCCCAGUAA
rnacentral:rRNA from 1 species